rnacentral:tRNA from 1 species
AGGCUUAGUAGUUUAAAAAAUGUAAGAUUGCAAAUCUUAAGAUGGUCAUUCCCUAGGCUUA